rnacentral:rRNA from 1 species
AUUGAACGCUGGCGGCAGGCCUAACACAUGCAAGUCGAGCGGAGCGGCGGACGGGUGAGUAAUGCCUAGGAAUCUGCCUGGUAGUGGGGGACAACGCCCGGAAACGGGCGCUAAUCCCGCAUACUAUCAGAUGAGCCUAGGUCGGAUUAGCUAGGUGGGGGGGUAAAGGCCUACCAAGGCGACGAACCGUAACUGGUCUGAGAGGAUGCUCAGUCACACUGGAACUGAGACACGGUCCAGACUCCUACGUGAGGCAGCAGUGGGGAAUAUUGGACAAUGGGCGAAAGCCUGAGCCAGCCAUGCCGCGUGUUUGAAGAAGGUCUUCGGAUUGUAAGGCACUUGAAGUUGGGAGACGUUACCAACAGAAUAAGCACCGGCUAACGUCGUGCCAGCAGCCGCGGUAAUAC